rnacentral:rRNA from 1 species
UACGGAGGGUGCGAGCGUUGUCCGGAAUCACUGGGCGUAAAGGGCGCGUAGGUGGCACGGGUAGUCGUCGGUGAAAGCUCAGGGCUCAACCCUGAGUCGGCCGGUGAUACUCCCGAGCUCGAGUUGUGGUAGAGGCCAAUGGAAUUCCGGGUGUAGCGGUGGAAUGCGUAGAGAUCCGGAAGAACACCGGUGGCGAAGGCGGUUGGCUGGGCCACAACUGACACUGAUGCGCGACAGCGUGGGGAGCAAACAGG